rnacentral:lncRNA from 1 species
GAAGGCACAUCUGUCUUAACUGUUUGUGAGCAGAGGUGAAAAAAAAUUGCGAGAUGCCUAGAAAACAAAGUGUAGAUUUGUACCUAGGAAGAGGGAAUGCAUUGGAUUUUUCCUGUGGUAACCCUUUUACAUCGUGGCAAGGAUUUUCUGGUCUGAUUCAUGUAAACUCCUUCCCGCUUUUGUGAUCCCUGGCUAGCAGCUGGUGAAGCCUUUGCCGUCUGUUUGGUACACAUACUCUUCCAAAUAUCCGUAAG